UCAAUGAGGGCACAGCUUCAUUGACACAGGAAACAACCUUCAAUAGUGACAAACUUGUAUCACCCCCCCCGUAGGCCUUUAAGCAGCCAACAAAAACAAAAUGCGUUACAGCAAUAAUUACACCCAAUCCCAAAAUACUCACACAAACCUCCUACUAAACAUCGGACAAAUCUAUUCACAUAGAAACACUCAUGUUAAAACUAGUAAUAAGAACAACUCUCUUCGCACAAGCUAACACCAACAGACAGCACCAUCUGAACCCAACUACUACACAAGAAAACCAAACCCACCAAUACUGUUAACCCAACCCAGGAGUGCACAAAGAAGAUUAAAAGUUACAAAAGGAACUCGGCAACCUAGGUCCCAACUGUUUACCAAAAACAUAGCCUUUAGCUCAACAAGUAUUAAAGGUGAUGCCUGCCCAGUGAUAUUUUCAACGGCCGCGGGAUCCUACACCGUGCAAAGGUAGCAUAAUCACUUGUCAUCUAAAUAAUGACUAGUAUGAAUGGCCCAAUGAGGACCUUACUGUCUCUUGUAACCAAUCUAUGAAACUGAUCUUCCAGUUCAAAAGCUGGAAUAAACGCACAAGACGAAAAGACCCUGUGGAACUUUUAAGUGCCAGUCAAUAAAAUGACACAACCACUUUUAGUUGGGGCAACUUUGGAACAAAACAAAACUUCCAAUCACGGGAAACAACUUAAAGCUAGGCUUACACACCAACCUUUAUUACCCGAUAUCGACCCAGUACUACUGAUAAAAGAACCAAGCUACCCCAGGGAUAACAGCGCCAUCCCCUCUUAGAGUCCCA
rnacentral:rRNA from 1 species